rnacentral:tRNA from 4 species
AAUGGACUUGCCUCAUGACUCAUAAUCGCUUGGUCGCUGGUUCAAGUCCAGCAGGGGCCACCA